rnacentral:snoRNA from 1 species
AAGCUUCUGUGGUUCAGAAGUGUGAGGACUGGGUAUCACACCGCUGUGGGAAGUGCCUCCCCCAAGCCUUGUUAUGAUGUCUACACAGUACUCACCUGACG